rnacentral:rRNA from 1 species
UACGGAGGGGGCUAGCGUUGUUCGGAAUUACUGGGCGUAAAGCGCGCGUAGGCGGACCUGCAAGUCGGGGGUGAAAGCCCGAGGCUCAACCUCGGAACUGCCUUCGAUACUGCGGGUCUCGAGUCCGGGAGAGGUGAGUGGAAUUCCUAGUGUAGAGGUGAAAUUCGUAGAUAUUAGGAAGAACACCGGUGGCGAAGGCGGGUCUCUGGGCCGAUACUGACGCUGAGGAGCGAAAGCGUGGGGAGCGAACAGG